GAUGAACGCUGGCGGCGUGCCUAAUACAUGCAAGUCGAGCGAACGGACGAGAAGCUUGCUUCUCUGAUGUUAGCGGCGGACGGGUGAGUAACACGUGGAUAACCUACCUAUAAGACUGGGAUAACUUCGGGAAACCGGAGCUAACACCGGAUAAUAUUUUGAACCGCAUUGUUCAAAAGUGAAAGACGGUCUUGCUGUCACUUAUAGAUGGAUCCGCGCUGCAUGAGCUAGUUGGUAAGGUAACGGCUUACCAAGGCAACGAUGCAUAGCCGACCUGCGGGGGUGAUCGGCCACACUGGAACUGAGACACGGUCAAGACCACUGCGGGAGGCCGCAGUAGGGAAUCUUCCGCAAUGGGCGAGAACCUGACGGAGCAACGCCGAGUGAGUGACGAAGGUCUUCGGAUCGUAAAACUCUGUUAUUAGGGAAGAACAUAUGUGUAAGUAACUGUGCACAUCGUGACGGUAACUAAUCAAAAAGCAACGGCUAACUACGUG
rnacentral:rRNA from 1 species